CGAACUAUAUGAAAUAGACCAUUUAUACCCUUUGUUACAUUUUGGGAUCAAAAAUGCCCCUGCUGUUAUCCUAAGAGACCACAAAUACCCUCAAGAGUUAACACCCCAAAAUUUUGUUGACGUGGCAAGCCACGUGGGAUUAAUCCUUCCACCUAAGCGUUGCCAACUAGGAUUCACUACAAAAGAACUAGACCUUUAGCAGCAACAACAGUCG
rnacentral:lncRNA from 1 species